ensembl:lncRNA
AGAAACAGUGCAGCCAGCAGGAGCAGAGAGGUGAUCGUCCCUCUGUACUCCACUCUGGUAAGGCUGCACCUCAAGUGCUGCAUUCGGAUUCAGGCCGCUCCCUACAAGAGAGACAUUCAGGCCCUGGAGCUUGUCCAGAUGAGGGCAACAAAGCUGGUGAGGGAUCUGGAGCACAAGUCUGAUGGGGAGCGGCUGGGGGAGCUGGGAUUGUUCAGUCUGGAGAAGAGGAGACUCAGGGGAGAAUUUAUUGCUCAGUACAGCUGCCUGAAAGGAGGAUGUGGUGAGCUUAGCAAACCCAUGGAGAGUAUUUUAGAGGAUUUGUUCCCUUCUUUAACUUGGAAACAGGACAUUCCAUCUAAGGUUUGAAUUUCCGUUUCUGACAGAAAACAAACCCAAAUCACCUCUAUGCUGGAACUGUGAAGAAGAGGCAGGUGUCCCACAAAAAGCACAACAGAAGCUAGAGGGUGCAGCAACGGCUGAAUAAAAGUUGGAAUUUCCAUCCACUUUGGGACAAGAAGUCAAAAUAUCAACAUGCGCCGUGGGACAGAAUGUUCUGCAAUACAUGGCUUCAGAAACAAUUGAACAUUUCUUCUUUUCCCAGCCAAGCACAAAAACUGCAUAUUUCCAUAGUGUUGUGCUGCCUAGUGGGGUUUGGAGUUUGAAUCUCCUAUUGUGUCCUUCUGCCCUGUGGGUACGACCUCAGGCGAGGGCUGCAUCUCUGGCACUGUGCUGCAGCGGUGGGGAUGGCCACAAGAGGAGGGAGUGCAUUGUGCCUGUAUAGAUAGAGCCUGAGCAGGGAAUUAACCACAGGAGGUGGAAGAGGCUAAAACUGCCAGCUGUAUUAUCCAGUUCCUACUGAACUGCACUAAAACAAAAUGUUGUGGUACAAGCAAUUUUUGCCAUAGGAUUUUUUUUUUUUCCCAUGAGAAAGUAAUUCUUACUCAAAACAGUCAGGUGGCAGUUUGACUUUCUCCAGUAGUGACUUGAUGGUACUAGGGGCUGUACAAACCUAACUGGGCAAGACAAUGUAUAUCUGGAGAGAUUAGGGCUUCCUUCUUCCCUGUCAUAAACACAGCCUUAACAGGUUCUACUCCUUCUCAUAUUGCUCUGUCUACACCAAUCACAGAAUCAUAGAAUCAUUUGAGUUGGAAGGGACCCUUAAAAGUUAUCUGGUCCAACUCCAUGCAGUGAACAGGACACCUACAGCUACAUCAGGUUGCUCAGAGCCCUGUCCAGCCUGACUUUGAAUGUCUCUAAGGACAUCGGACAGGUCAAUAAACUGGGUAGGCUCGAAAUAGGCCUCUGUCAGCACGGUUUUGGCCUUCACCAUCUAAUGCCAUGUCCAGACCUGGUCUAGGAUACAGUAUAGGUCUUAGUAAGCAAUAUGGAUGAGUUCAUCUUAAGUUUGAGGGAAAAUUACCUGUAGUAGAGGAUACCUUGCCACACCUUUUGUCCAUGACCCAUAUAACUUGCUUGCAUAGACAGUGCCAGAUGGUGACUGUCAUGCUAUGAGGUAGCCAGAAUGGACAGCGUAUCUAGGAUGAUAUGAACCUUUUUUGUUGCAUCAUUUUUGGUCCAAGUUUGUCCCUCAGUUCUAUCUGACAUGCAAUUGCACCACUGCUCAUGUAGGGACAUGAGAAAGGGAGGAGUGAGCACUGAGGUGCUAGAGGGCAGAGAAAGAGUAGGACUGCUGUUUUUAUUGACUUACAAUAUUUGUGAAAUUCAGAUUAACAGUGCCAUACCUCAUUGUAGAUGCUUACUUGCAGGAGUUUUUUUGAACUGUAGUUGCUGGGAUCAGCUCUGCCGCCUUUGUCAAGGAGUGGGCAUGUGACAUGAGCACAGAUCUCAGUGAAGUUCAGGGCUAUGAAGUUCUUGCUGUGGGGCUAUCACUCAGGGCCCAAAUGGCUGGACGUAUGUGACUUAUGCAGGAACAUAUAGAAAGUGUCAGGGAGAGCAGGUUGUCCAAAAUGCCUGGAUAAGAGCAUAAAUGGUUUAAUCAUAAGAGCAUAUUUCUCCUUUGGUACAGGUUUGACUUAUUAAUGCAUUCAUUUCUCUGAACAUUUUAUAAUUGAACCAGGUACAUGGAAAUGAACAUGGAGUAUGCAAGCUACAGAAUUGAGAGUGCAUGUACUUAGAAAUUGAAAGGAGAAAUUCUAGCUGUAAAAUACUUCACUAUACCUCCUUCUUCUAGUGAAAAUUCAGGGCCUGUUUAGAACUGCCUCCUUUCAGCUUUUGUUAUCAAAAUGUACAUCAGAUGCUGAAGUGCAGUUAAAAUCCUGUGGGCCCUCUUUUACAGCAAAAAAAAAAUUGCAUAAAUUGAGUUCAUUAGAGCAAUAUUGAUUUUCAGCACCUGAGUAUCUGCCCCCCAGUUUUAACUUAAUUUUUUUAAGUAUUUCUCUCCUGUGGCAAGAAGUUGAAGAGACAGAAGGAAGUCAGUAUGAAAGAAGAAAGAAAUAUGUCUUCAGUGCCUUAAGUAAAGGUUAUCGUACAGAAACAAAAAUUUUAAAGGAAUACAUAUUUUCAUUUUGCUUGUGUGUUAUUUUGAUUUGUGCCCAUAAUAACAUAAAAGGGAUGAAAAUACCAACAGAACUGAGUCCUGAACCAUCUGCUAAACAGGCACUUUUAUCUGUAUUGAAAUACAUGAUGGUGAGAUAAGCCUACUGAGAAAAUUAUGGAAUGCUUUUUUCCCUCUAAAUGAAAGGAUCACUUCUCCUUCAGUUAUUAUUGUAGGUUGGUACCAUCCAUGUAAAAAGUAAACAAGGCUCUAAGUAAGUUUCCUGUGCAUUAACAGAUGGGGUCACAUAAAUGAAAAAAAGUGAAUAUGAGGAUGUACCUUAGGAACUGAGAUAGUGUGUAUAGUACUUGUAACUUUGUAGUAUUUAAGCUGUUUUGGUACAUUUAGAAUAAACAUCUAUGGAAAAAGUUCCAUCUUAAUAUC